rnacentral:rRNA from 1 species
GGGGAAUUUUGGACAAUGGGGGCAACCCUGAUCCAGCCAUGCCGCGUGUAUGAAGAAGGCCUUCGGGUUGUAAAGUACUUUUGUUGGGGAAGAAAAGCCUGCCGCUAAUACCGGUGGGUCAUGACGGUACCCAAAGAAUAAGCACCGGCUAACUACGUGCCAGCAGCCGCGGUAAUACGUAGGGUGCAAGCGUUAAUCGGAAUUACUGGGCGUAAAGCGAGCGCAGACGGUUAUUUAAGUCAGGUGUGAAAUCCCCGAGCUCAACUUGGGAAUGGCGCUUGAAACUGGGUAACUAGAGUGUGUCAGAGGGGGGUAGAAUUCCACGUGUAGCAGUGAAAUGCGUAGAGAUGUGGAGGAAUACCGAUGGCGAAGGCAGCCCCCUGGGAUAACACUGACGUUCAUGCUCGAAAGCGUGGGUAGCAAAC